UAGGGAAUCUUCCGCAAUGGGCGAAAGCCUGCCGGAGCAACGCCGCGUGAGUGAUUAAGGUCUUCGGAUCGUAAAACUCUGUUAUUAGGGAAGAACAAAUGUGUAAGUAACUAUGCACGUCUUGACGGUACCUAAUCAGAAAGCCACGGCUAACUACGUGCCAGCAGCCGCGGUAAUACGUAGGUGGCAAGCGUUAUCCGGAAUUAUUGGGCGUAAAGCGCGCGUAGGCGGUUUUUUAAGUCUGAUGUGAAAGCCCACGGCUCAACCGUGGAGGGUCAUUGGAAACUGGAAAACUUGAGUGCAGAAGAGGAAAGUGGAAUUCCAUGGGUGGCGGUGAAAUGCGCAGGGAUAUGGAGGAACACCAGUGGCGAAGGAGACUUUCUGGUCUGUAACUAACGCUGAUGUGCGAAAGCGUGGGGAUCAAACAGG
rnacentral:rRNA from 1 species